rnacentral:rRNA from 1 species
UACAGGGGGGGCAAGCGUUGUUCGGAAUUACUGGGCGUAAAGCGUGCGCAGGCGGUUUUGUAAGCCCGAUGUGAAAUCCCCGGGCUUAACCUGGGAAUGGCAUUUGGGACUGCAAGGCUAGAGUGUGGCAGAGGAGACUGGAAUUCCUGGUGUAGCAGUGAAAUGCGUAGAUAUCAGGAGGAAUACCGAUGGCGAAGGCAGGUCUCUGGGCUAACACUGACGCUCAUGCACGAAAGCGUGGGGAGCAAACAGG